rnacentral:rRNA from 1 species
AGGGCGCACGGUGGAUGCCUUGACACUAGGAGUCGAUGAAGGACGGGACUAACGCCGAUAUGCUUCGGGGAGCUGUAAGUAAGCUUUGAUCCGAAGAUUUCCGAAUGGGGAAACCCACCAUACGUAAUGGUAUGGUAUCCUUAUCUGAAUACAUAGGGUAAGGAAGACAGACCCAGGGAACUGAAACAUCUAAGUACCUGGAGGAAGAGAAAGCAAAUGCGAUUUCCUGAGUAGCGGCGAGCGAAACGGAACAUAGCCCAAACCAAGAGGCUUGCCUCUUGGGGUUGUAGGACAUUCUAUACGGAGUUACAAAGGAACGAGGUAGACGAAGCGACCUGGAAAGGUCCGUCGUAGAGGGUAACAACCCCGUAGUCGAAACUUCGUUCUCUCUUGAAUGUAUCCUGAGUACGGCGGAACACGUGAAAUUCCGUCGGAAUCUGGGAGGACCAUCUCCCAAGGCUAAAUACUCCCUAGUGAUCGAUAGUGAACCAGUACCGUGAGGGAAAGGUGAAAAGCACCCCGGAAGGGGAGUGAAAGAGAUCCUGAAACCGUGUGCCUACAAAUAGUCAGAGCCCGUUAAUGGGUGAUGGCGUGCCUUUUGUAGAAUGAACCGGCGAGUUACGAUCCCGUGCGAGGUUAAGCUGAAGAGGCGGAGCCGCAGCGAAAGCGAGUCUGAAUAGGGCGUUUAGUACGUGGUCGUAGACCCGAAACCAGGUGAUCUACCCAUGUCCAGGGUGAAGUUCAGGUAACACUGAAUGGAGGCCCGAACCCACGCACGUUGAAAAGUGCGGGGAUGAGGUGUGGGUAGCGGAGAAAUUCCAAUCGAACCUGGAGAUAGCUGGUUCUCCCCGAAAUAGCUUUAGGGCUAGCCUUAAGUGUAAGAGUCUUGGAGGUAGAGCACUGAUUGGACUAGGGGUCCUCAUCGGAUUACCGAAUUCAGUCAAACUCCGAAUGCCAAUGACUUAUCCUUAGGAGUCAGACUGCGAGUGAUAAGAUCCGUAGUCAAAAGGGAAACAGCCCAGACCGCCAGCUAAGGUCCCAAAGUGUGUAUUAAGUGGAAAAGGAUGUGGAGUUGCUUAGACAACUAGGAUGUUGGCUUAGAAGCAGCCACCAUUUAAAGAGUGCGUAAUAGCUCACUAGUCGAGUGACUCUGCGCCGAAAAUGUACCGGGGCUAAAUACACCACCGAAGCUGCGGAUUGAUACCAAUGGUAUCAGUGGUAGGGGAGCGUUCUAAGGACAGUGAAGUCAGACCGGAAGGACUGGUGGAGCGCUUAGAAGUGAGAAUGCCGGUAUGAGUAGCGAAAGACGGGUGAGAAUCCCGUCCACCGAAUGCCUAAGGUUUCCUGAGGAAGGCUCGUCCGCUCAGGGUUAGUCAGGACCUAAGCCGAGGCCGACAGGCGUAGGCGAUGGACAACAGGUUGAUAUUCCUGUACCACCUCUUUAUCGUUUGAGCAAUGGAGGGACGCAGAAGGAUAGAAGAAGCGUGCGAUUGGUUGUGCACGUCCAAGCAGUUAGGCUGAUAAGUAGGCAAAUCCGCUUAUCGUGAAGGCUGAGCUGUGAUGGGGAAGCUCCUUAUGGAGCGAAGUCUUUGAUUCCCCGCUGCCAAGAAAAGCUUCUAGCGAGAUAAAAGGUGCCUGUACCGCAAACCGACACAGGUAGGCGAGGAGAGAAUCCUAAGGUGUGCGAGAGAACUCUGGUUAAGGAACUCGGCAAAAUGACCCCGUAACUUCGGGAGAAGGGGUGCUUUCUUAACGGAAAGCCGCAGUGAAUAGGCCCAAGCGACUGUUUAGCAAAAACACAGCUCUCUGCGAAGCCGUAAGGCGAAGUAUAGGGGGUGACACCUGCCCGGUGCUGGAAGGUUAAGGAGAGGGGUUAGCGUAAGCGAAGCUCUGAACUGAAGCCCCAGUAAACGGCGGCCGUAACUAUAACGGUCCUAAGGUAGCGAAAUUCCUUGUCGGGUAAGUUCCGACCCGCACGAAAGGUGUAACGAUUUGGGCACUGUCUCAACCAGAGACUCGGUGAAAUUAUAGUACCUGUGAAGAUGCAGGUUACCCGCGACAGGACGGAAAGACCCCGUGGAGCUUUACUGUAGCCUGAUAUUGAAUUUUGGUACAGUUUGUACAGGAUAGGCGGGAGCCAUUGAAACCGGAGCGCUAGCUUCGGUGGAGGCGCUGGUGGGAUACCGCCCUGACUGUAUUGAAAUUCUAACCUACGGGUCUUAUCGACCCGGGAGACAGUGUCAGGUGGGCAGUUUGACUGGGGCGGUCGCCUCCUAAAGUGUAACGGAGGCGCCCAAAGGUUCCCUCAGAAUGGUUGGAAAUCAUUCGUAGAGUGCAAAGGCAUAAGGGAGCUUGACUGCGAGACCUACAAGUCGAGCAGGGACGAAAGUCGGGCUUAGUGAUCCGGUGGUUCCGCAUGGAAGGGCCAUCGCUCAACGGAUAAAAGCUACCCCGGGGAUAACAGGCUUAUCUCCCCCAAGAGUCCACAUCGACGGGGAGGUUUGGCACCUCGAUGUCGGCUCAUCGCAUCCUGGGGCUGUAGUCGGUCCCAAGGGUUGGGCUGUUCGCCCAUUAAAGCGGUACGCGAGCUGGGUUCAGAACGUCGUGAGACAGUUCGGUCCCUAUCCGUCGUGGGCGUAGGAAAUUUGAGAGGAGCUGUCCUUAGUACGAGAGGACCGGGAUGGACGCACCGCUGGUGUACCAGUUGUUCUGCCAAGGGCAUAGCUGGGUAGCUAUGUGCGGAAGGGAUAAGUGCUGAAAGCAUCUAAGCAUGAAGCCCCCCUCAAGAUGAGAUUUCCCAUAGCGUAAGCUAGU